CUUUCCUUGCUGGAGAAGCAGGGCACGUGCAAAAGUGCAAAGCUCCUUCGCUUUUGCAAUGCCAUGGCUUUAUUUGCACGUGCUCCCCUUCUCCAACACGGGUUC
rnacentral:pre_miRNA from 1 species